rnacentral:misc_RNA from 1 species
AUUUAGAGGAAGGAGAAGUCGUAACAAGGUUUCCGUAGGUGAACCUGCGGAAGGAUCAUUGUCGAUGCCUUACAAGCAGCCCAACCCGUGAAUCUGUUUGACCCCCCGGUAGGGCGGGCUUGCGGUGCCCGGCACCGCAACCUCCCUCGGGCGCGGAGGGGGGCCACGCAGUGUGUUCCCCUCCGAGCCAAACACGAACCCGGGCGCUGAAUGCGCCAAGGAACUGAGAUUGGUUCAGCGCGUCCCCCGCCGGCCCGGAGACGGUGCCCCGGCGGGCGGCGCCUUGACACGCGAUACGGAAUGACUCUCGGCAACGGAUAUCUAGGCUCUUGCAUCGAUGAAGAACGUAGCGAAAUGCGAUACUUGGUGUGAAUUGCAGAAUCCCGUGAACCAUCGAGUCUUUGAACGCAAGUUGCGCCCGAAGCCAUUAGGCUGAGGGCACGUCUGCCUGGGCGUCACAGAUCGUUGCCCGAUGCCCAGCUGCCUAGCGAUAGGUGCUGGAAUUGUGCGGGGCGAACGGUGGCCUCCCGUGAGCGCCGUGCUGGCUCUCUCGGUUGGCUGAAAAUCGAGUCCACGGUGGGGUGCGCGCCACGGCAGAUGGUGGUUGAGUGACCCUCGAGACCAGUCGUGCGCCACCGCAGCCGAACCUGGCCUCCGCGACCCGCGCGCGUCCUCGAACGCUCACAUGACGAGACCUCAGGUCAGGCGGGGCUACCCGCUGAGUUUAA